rnacentral:lncRNA from 1 species
GGUCACACCAGGUAUAUAUUGCAAGUCAUCACUGUAUUGAUACAGAAUGCCCUGCAAACAUAAUUACACCAUGUAAAUUAGAAGUUUAAAUAUAUGAAAUCAUGACCUCCACCACCAACCCAAUCAACAUAUGGGACACCCAACCGUGAUCCCUGAAAAUUUUUACCUUGCAAUCCUAAUACAAUCUUAUUCAUACUUUGAACAAGUUCAUUAUCCUCACUGUAACUCUCAUAGCACGCCCGCAUAUUAGAUCUCUGCAUACCUAUAAAAACAGUUCUUUAUAGACACAUACUUACAUAUUUUAUUAUACUUACAUCAAUACAAGGAGCAAAUGCAUAUGAAAUUCCGAUAGCUCUGACUUCAGCAAUAGUGGUUGCACCUAUUCUCUUCACAAGAUUAGUGUCCCUAGUGUCUAUGUGGCCAAUAUUAUGUGGAAAUAUUGUAGCAUAAAUAACAUUGUUGUCACUAUGAUCAGCAACAAUUCCAUAAAUCAUUGGAUCCAUGAUCAUGUAGAAAAUGUUGGAGCUCAUGAGUAG